rnacentral:sRNA from 1 species
CUAUUUGGUGCGGAGUCGGAACCGCCUAAGUGAUUCGUCCAUCAAGAAGCGCAGUGUGGUUUGUUGUGCGAAUUUUGUAAAGCGGCCAAACGUGCGGAGCGCACCGUGUUAAAAAAGUGUAGUUUGGCUUCGGCAGAGCAGAGGCACCAUCUCCUCGUUAAAAAGUGAAGUGCGUCUGUCGUGCAGAAUCCUGCAAUGGGUAAGGGUAAACAAAUUCGAGGAAAAGCCGUCUGUGAAACCACCACAGGCGGUUUUU